AGAUGCAAGAUCAGUAUGUCUGUGACAUCUAUAACUCCACUGGUAGCAAGAGUUGAUUCUGCUAAUUUGUCAAGCUAUGUGAAUGUGCCAUUCCUUCCUUAAAUGAUUAUGUGAGUUGGCCCAAAGCUUUGUGUUCUGGACAGGGGAGGGUUCAUCUUUGGUUGAGUAUAUGAUAGUUGCAUUCUCCAGCUAGAACGUACAUAAAAGCAUUUAAUUUAUUCCUAGCUAAUUAGUUGAUACACACACACACACACACACACACACAUACACACACUUGUGUUGU
rnacentral:snRNA from 1 species